rnacentral:rRNA from 1 species
UAGGGAAUCUUCCGCAAUGGGCGAAAGCCUGACGGAGCAACGCCGCGUGAGUGAUGAAGGUCUUCGGAUCGUAAAACUCUGUUAUCAGGGAAGAACAAAUGUGUAAGUAACUGUGCACAUCUUGACGGUACCUGAUCAGAAAGCCACGGCUAACUACGUGCCAGCAGCCGCGGUAAUACGUAGGUGGCAAGCGUUAUCCGGAAUUAUUGGGCGUAAAGCGCGCGUAGGCGGUUGUUUAAGUCUGAUGUGAAAGCCCACGGCUCAACCGUGGAGGGUCAUUGGAAACUGGAAAACUUGAGUGCAGAAGAGGAAAGUGGAAUUCCAUGUGUAGCGGUGAAAUGCGCAGAGAUAUGGAGGAACACCAGUGGCGAAGGCGACUUUCUGGUCUGUAACUGACGCUGAUGUGCGAAAGCGUGGGGAUCAAACA